rnacentral:rRNA from 1 species
GACGAACGCUGGCGGCGUGCCUAAUACAUGCAAGUAGAACGCACAGUUUAUACCGUAGCUUGCUACACCAUAAACUGUGAGUUGCGAACGGGUGAGUAACGCGUAGGUAACCCGCCUGGUAGCGGGGGAUAACUAUUGGAAACGAUAGCUAAUACCGCAUAAUAUUAAUUAUUGCAUGAUAAUUGAUUGAAAGAUGCAAUCGCAUCACUACCAGAUGGACCUGCGUUGUAUUAGCUAGUAGGUGAGGUAACGGCUCACCUAGGCGACGAUACAUAGCCGACCUGAGAGGGUGAUCGGCCACACUGGGACUGAGACACGGCCCAGACUCCUACAGGAGGCAGCAGUAGGGAAUCUUCGGCAAUGGACGAAAGUCUGACCGAGCAACGCCGCGUGAGUGAAGAAGGUUUUCGGAUCGUAAAGCUCUGUUGUAAGAGAAGAACGGGUGUGAGAGUGGAAAGUUCACACUGUGACGGUAUCUUACCAGAAAGGGACGGCUAACUACGUG